CAAGAGGUGGUAUUUCUGUUUUUAAAAAAAUUGUCAAAUCAUUCACACGCUAUGACCUCCGAAAGUUCGAACAAUACCCCACCACGUGCUUCCACCCAUCGUCUUGUAAGACAGUGAGGGGAGUACAGUGGUGUUAGACAAGUGGAGCUGUUCCCGCCUACACGUUAAACACUCGUUACGAGAGAGCGUGCUGGGGAGUGUACACCUGUACAAGAUGAUGAUUCGCUCACGUCAUACACUGACCCAGUUGCUCAAUACGACGAUCAGAACGUCAAUACUUGUUUAAACAGCGUUUCGUCCACGCUAUAAGUUAAGUUUAUUUACCUUCAACCCGCCUCUUGUGUAGGUUGGUUAUUCAGUCAGUAAAGAAAAAAGUUGUAUAACUAACGGGAGUAUCAUAAACACGUCCAAUCCUUAUCUGUGUGGUAUGAUCUCGAUUUAGCUAGAUUAUGUUCAUACAAUAUUAGUUCAUAAUAAAUUUCUGUUAGAUGUAUGAGUAAUGCAAAGCAUCUGUUAGGUCGAUGCGCAUUUCUGGCUUAAACGAAAAUGGAUUUACAAAUUUGAGUUUAUUUCUGAAGACAUGUCGGUGAAUUCAGCCCUCCAGAAAUAAUGUAUUCCUUUCGACGACUCAUACAAACAGCAGUGGCUGUUGUGUGUAUCUGUGUUUGGGUGACACUACAGACAGGUGAAGCUCACGGUGAUACAGGCCACAAUGGACUAAUUAAUCCGUUUUCAAGCAACAGAAGUACCGUGGGGGUAUGCUGCAAGUAUGGAGGGCUUUUCUCUUCCUGGUUCAGCAGCUGCUGCAGAAAGAUAAAGGAUAUCACUGGUGUGUGUACCCGGCUGUGUCACGCCGAACCUGUGUUGUACAGAGGCCGGUUGAGUAACACGACAAUGACGGCUACCUUACCGUACACGUCUUUCCUGGUGGCAGAAUAUACACUGACUACACACGAUAACGAAAUCAUUCUGAGGAUAGACAUUAAACUCGGAGUAUACAAUGAGAAAAACGGUAACAGAUCUCUGUUGGAUUUUCUCACCUGCUUAAAAAGUUCCAGUUCCUUAUCUUCACAAUGUAUUCAUAAUUUAGUGAUUACUUUACAAGAAGGAACAAGUAUAAACUAUUCAGCAUCACAUAACCUGACAUCAUCUCAAACGACGACGACAACGUCAGCGCACUCCUCUACACCAACACCUGGAGGAACAGCAACAUCACCUCACACAUCAACAACCACAACGUCCUUAAAUUCGUCAACCUCACAAAGAUUAAUAUCAACAUCACCCACGACGUCGUUACGAAAUGUAAAAACAUCACAACCACUGGGAUUGAAAACAUCAACAUAUACGACGCAGUCACGAUAUACAGAGACAUUAACAACACAUACUGGAUUGACAUUAACGUCAUCCACAACAUCAGUAUAUGCGAUAACAUCAACAUCACAAGCAAGAACAUCAACAAUGUCCACAAUGUCAUCUCGAUCUAAAGACACCUCGACAUCACAGGCAUCAGUUCCAACAACGUUAACAACGUCAUCAGAAUUAACAAGCAUGUCAAAAUCGAGCGUUUUAACAGCAACAAAGUCGCCGUCGUCGUCGUCGACAUCCUCAGUGUAUACGUCAUACACCAACACAGAGAGUGAAAUAAUCCCAAGCGCCGAGGCGGCGGCCCGCCACUCCCCGUCCACCCGGAUUCUGAUCGGCGUCGUCGUGGGCGGAGUUCUCGCCGGCAUCGUCCUCGCCUCCGUCAUCAUCGUGCUGUGGUGUAUCCUCAGAAACAAACGAAAGCCUGCUACACGAACCGAGGACAGCAUCUACAAUGAUAAUACCCCACAAAAGGUAGUAGUAAGAUAUCCCAUACGUCACCCCAUAGUCUUACAGAUGGAGGUUAUUUUCGUCACAAGUGUGGGCAAUUCCAUAAAUACUGUGGAAGCUCACAUUACCAUUUUUAAAAAUAUCUUCACAUACACAUAACAAUUAUGAGACGAUAUUAUUCUUGUAACUAACACAACAAACCGUCAUUUUGUAAAGCUAUCAGGAGGAUAUCUUCUUUAAAUACUUUUUAAAAUACGUGGUGUUGAUCUAGACAAAUCUGAAUUCUUUAAACACUGGUCCUGUGGUUUGUAUAAAAAACUGAAUAGUUAUCUGUGAAGAAGUACCAUAGCUAGGUAAAGUGACACAUGUCUGUAUAGAAAACUGAAUAGUUAUCUGUGAAGAAGUACCAUAGCUAGGUAAAGUGACACAUGUCUGUAUAGAAAACUGAAUAGUUAGCUGUGAAGACGUGCCAUAGCUAGGUAAAGUGACACAUGUCUGUAUAGAAAACUGAUUAGUUAGCUGUGAAGACGUGCCAUAGCUAGGUAAAGUGACACAUGUCAAACAAACCUGUAUCAAUGUCAUGUACAAGUGUGGAAGUGACUGUUGAGGACAACAUUUGUUUAAUGUAAUAAAACAAAUAUGUGGGAAAGUAAAAAA
rnacentral:misc_RNA from 1 species